rnacentral:rRNA from 1 species
GACGAACGCUGGCGGCGUGCCUAAUACAUGCAAGUCGAGCGGACCAAUAGAAGCUUGCUUCUGUUGGUUAGCGGCGGACGGGUGAGUAACACGUGGGCAACCUGCCUGUAAGACUGGGAUAACUUCGGGAAACCGGAGCUAAUGCCGGAUAAUUCAUCCCCUCGCAUGAGGGGAUGCUGAAAGUCGGUUUACGCUGACACUUACAGAUGGGCCCGCGGCGCAUUAACUAGUUGGUGAGGUAAUGGCUCACCAAGGCGACGAUGCGUAGCCGACCUGAGAGGGUGAUCGGCCACACUGGGACUGAGACACGGCCCAGACUCCCACGGGAGGCAGCAGUAGGGAAUCCUCCACAAUGGACGAAAGUCUGAUGGAGCAACGCCGCGUGAGCGAUGAAGGCCUUCGGGUCGUAAAGCUCUGUUGUUAGGGAAGAACAAGUAUCGGAGUAACUGCCGGUACCUUGACGGUACCUAACCAGAAAGCCAUGGCUAACUACGUGCCAGCAGCCGCCGUAA